rnacentral:tRNA from 1 species
AGCAGUGUGGCUUAGUGGAAAGAGCUCGGGCUGAGAAGUCAGAGAUCAUGGGUUCUAAUCCCAACUCCGCCA